rnacentral:rRNA from 1 species
AUUGAACGCUGGCGGCAGGCCUAACACAUGCAAGUCGAGCGGUAACACAGGGAGCUUGCUCCUGGGUGACGAGCGGCGGACGGGUGAGUAAUGUCUGGGAAACUGCCUGAUGGAGGGGGAUAACUACUGGAAACGGUAGCUAAUACCGCAUAACGUCGCAAGACCAAAGAGGGGGACCUUCGGGCCUCUUGCCAUCAGAUGUCCCCAGAUGGGAUUAGCUAGUAGGUGGGGUAACGGCUCACCUAGGCGACGAUCCCUAGCUGGUCUGAGAGGAUGACCAGCCACACUGGAACUGAGACACGGUCCAGACUCCUACGGGAGGCAGCAGUGGGGAAUAUUGCACAAUAGGCGCAAGCCUGAUGCAGCCAUGCCGCGCGUAUGAAGAAGGCCUUCGGGUUGUAAAGUACUUUCAGCGGGGAGGAAGGUGUUGAGGUUAAUAACCUCAGCAAUUGACGUUACCCGCAGAAGAAGCACCGGCUAACUCCGUGCCAGCCGCCGCGGUAA